rnacentral:rRNA from 1 species
UACAGGCUUAACACAUGCAAGUCGAGGCGUUUCAGUUCAGUUUGCUUGCAAACUGGAUAUGGCGACCGGCGCACGGGUGAGUAACACGUAUCCAACCUGCCGAUAACUCGGGGAUAGCCUUUCUAAAGAAAGAUUAAUACCCGAUGGUAUAAUCAGACCGCAUGGUCUUGUUAUUAAAGAAUUUCGGUUAUCGAUGGGGAUGCGUUCCAUUAGGCAGUUGGUGAGGUAACGGCUCACCAAACCUUCUAUGGAUAUGGGUUCUGAGAGGAAGGUCCCCCACAUUGGAACUGAGACACGGUCCAAACUCCUACGGGAGGCAGCAGUGAGGAAUAUUGGUCAAUGGGCGCAGGCCUGAACCAGCCAAGUAGCGUGAAGGAUGACUGCCCUAUGGGUUGUAAACUUCUUUUAUAUGGGAAUAAAGUUUUCCACGUGUGGAAUUUUGUAUGUACCAUAUGAAUAAGGAUCGGCUAACUCCGUGCCAGCAGCCGCGGUAAUACGGAGGAUCCGAGCGUUAUCCGGAUUUAUUGGGUUUAAAGGGAGCGUAGGUGGACAGUUAAUUCAGUUGUGAAAGUUUGCGGCUCAACCGUAAAAUUGCAGUUGAUACUGGCUGUCUUGAGUACAGUAGAGGUGGGCGGAAUUCGUGGUGUAGCGGUGAAAUGCUUAGAUAUCACGAAGAACUCCGAUUGCGAAGGCAGCUCACUGGACUGCAACUGACACUGAUGCUCGAAAGUGUGGGUAUCAAACAGGAUUAGAUACCCUGGUAGUCCACACAGUAAACGAUGAAUACUCGCUGUUUGCGAUAUACAGUAAGCGGCCAAGCGAAAGCAUUAAGUAUUCCACCUGGGGAGUACGCCGGCAACGGUGAAACUCAAAGGAAUUGACGGGGGCCCGCACAAGCGGAGGAACAUGUGGUUUAAUUCGAUGAUACGCGAGGAACCUUACCCGGGCUUAAAUUGCAUUUGAAUAUAUUGGAAACAGUAUAGCCGUAAGGCAAAUGUGAAGGUGCUGCAUGGUUGUCGUCAGCUCGUGCCGUGAGGUGUCGGCUUAAGUGCCAUAACGAGCGCAACCCUUAUCUUUAGUUACUAACAGGUCAUGCUGAGGACUCUAGAGAGACUGCCGUCGUAAGAUGUGAGGAAGGUGGGGAUGACGUCAAAUCAGCACGGCCCUUACGUCCGGGGCUACACACGUGUUACAAUGGGGGGUACAGAAGGCAGCUACCUGGUGACAGGAUGCUAAUCCCAAAAGCCUCUCUCAGUUCGGAUCGAAGUCUGCAACCCGACUUCGUGAAGCUGGAUUCGCUAGUAAUCGAGCAUCAGCCAUGGCGCGGUGAAUACGUUCCCGGGCCUUGUACACACCGCCCGUCAAGCCAUGAAAGCCGGGGGUACAUGAAGUACGUAACCGCAAGGAGCGUCCUAGGGUAAAACUGGAAA